rnacentral:rRNA from 1 species
GACGAACGCUGGCGGCGUGCUUAACACAUGCAAGUCGAACGGAAAGACCCUGCUUUUGUGGGGUGCUCGAGUGGCGAACGGGUGAGUAACACGUGAGUAACCUGCCCUUGACUUUGGGAUAACUUCAGGAAACUGGGGCUAAUACCGGAUAGGAGCUCCUGCUGCAUGGUGGGGGUUGGACAGUUUCGGCGGUUGGGGAUGGACUCGCGGCUUAUCAGCUUGUUGGUGGGGUAGUGGCUUACCAAGGCUUUGACGGGUAGCCGGCCUGAGAGGGUGACCGGCCACAUUGGGACUGAGAGACGGCCCAGACUCCUACGGGAGGCAGCAGUGGGGAAUAUUGCACAAUGGGCGGAAGCCUGAUGCAGCAACGCCGCGUGCGGGAUGACGGCCUUCGGGUUGUAAACCGCUUUCGCCUGUGACGAAGCGUGAGUGACGGUAAUGGGUAAAGAAGCACCGGCUAACUACGUG